rnacentral:lncRNA from 1 species
GUAGUCUUCAUGGGCGCGCGUGCCGGUCACGUGGAGCAUGGCGGCUUAGUUCCCCCGUAACAGUAGCCCCCCACUUCCGAGCCUGGAACCAGAAGGGGAACGGGUGAAGGGAGUGAUGCUUCGAGAUUGCCGCCAUCCCUCGGAGAGGCGCGCGCGCUUCGAGCUCCCCGCCUUCUUUAUGGCGUAUGGCGGUUGUUGCUGACCUGGCAAUCUGAGGAUUUCGGCGGACAUCCUUUCUUAAUGGUGUCGAUUCGCCUUUGGGGCGCGAGCGACCCUUCGGCGGCCAGGCGUCCUCUGGCGUCAUCGAGGCAUCACCCGCCUUUCCGCCUAUUUAACCGGGGGCCCUCCCCCGUCCGUCUUCCUCUUUACAGACAUUUUCGAGUUUCCCCUUUGCACUGCCGUUGUUGCCGUCGGACUGUUCGCUUGCUUCUCCUUUGACGCUCUCGGAGCCGUUCUUCCUUCUCUUCCGGUGAGUUACCCCAUUCUUCUACUUAGGGCUCUCCAUACUUUCUCCUUUUGUACUAGUGUACCCCAGUCGUUCCGGUCUUUCCC